GGAAGAAAAAAAGGAACAGGUAAGCAACUGUACAGAGGAUAAAUCCAAGAAAGUUCCUGCAUUUUACAUUAUCAUGAAGGAAUUAGUAGAAGCGGGUAAUAAAGCCAGAUCUCUCUCUGCCUGCCUACUUGCAAACCCCCACUUAAUGGAUUUGAGCUCCUCUAACUACUGGCAGUGGUAAGUAAGUGUAAGAGUUCUCUGACAAAAUGGAGGCUAGAAAGAAAUCCAUUGGCUUCGUUCUGAGCAAAAGUCUGUUUUGGAACAGAAACAAUGAGGUAUCCAAGGCUUCAGUUAAAAGUUCAGCUCCAAGUCCUAUUCCAACCACUGCUGGCUUCCUACAGCCUUUCUAAACUAGUCUGGCUGCUUCAGCUGCAAAAUGUCACUGUCACAAAGGCUCCAGAAGGUCAUUUCUGUAUGGAACUGUAAGCAUAGGUUAACUGUUCCCAUACCCUGGUUAGAGGAAAGUCAUGGAAAUCUGGGCAGCCCUCAAAUGUUGUUUCUAUUUCAUUAGAAAACUCUUUGUUUUAUUUACAUGAGCAGCAGGGUGUGCUUUUAAAACAUGCUCUUUGGGGAAUAGGAAGAAAUUUCUGCACAAAGAAUUCCCCUGGAACGAAUUAGGAGGAAUGUGAUCCAACCAUGAUCUGAGGUAAGGGAACAAUAUUCAAAUGUUGGAGUGUAGAGGAAAAUGAAGAAUUGCUGGAUGUUAAUCUUGUUGAGAUAAAUUUCAUCAAUGAGUCCAUUUUUAUACACAACGCCAUGUCACAAGAAUGUCAGUGACGCCUAACGCUGAUGUAGCACCAGCUCCAUUGCUUGACAAGGGCAGAAUUUCAGCCUUGUCUCAUUUCCAGAAGCUACUGCUGAUCCUCUUGUGGUUACCAAAAAAAAUUUUCUCUGUUUCUCUCUGUUCUUUCCAUUACUGAAAUAGCUUCCUCAUGACAACUUUUUAAAAAGCUCCUUCCCAAAAAGGAAAAAAGUUCUUAUAACAAUAUUUGAUAUCCAAUCUCACUUGUUCAAUGAAUGCAGUAGUCCAAGUUAAAAAAAGGUAUUAAUAUUGCUUCAUGUAACAUUGCUUAAAGGUAAUUUUGGAUCACCUCCAGAGACAGCACUUUCUUCAGAUUUCAGCCCUUAUGUAAUUGGGUGAACAUAACUCAUAGUGUCAAUAAUUCAGAUGUUGGCCUCUUGUUAUACUACUACACAAAAAAACCCCAUAAUGACAGGAGAAUUUUAGGUUUUAAUUUCCAGUAAGAUCCUAGUCAUCACAGUGGUAGCAUGAAGCUUAAAUAGAUGCUUAAUCCCCCAUCUGCCCAGUGGAGAAAUCAGAAGGCGCUGGGAGAGAAAGGAGGGAACCUGGUAAAGAUACAGAUCACCCCCCCCCCCCCUUUUAAACCUUUUUUUUUUUUUUUUAAGGCAGUUUUGAUGAGGGGUUACUUUUCUAACGUUUUUAAUGCUCUGUUAGUUAUUCCAAGGAGGAUUACUUUAGUUCCAAUUGGUCAUAAUGUCUUCAUUAAAAGUAAUGAAGCAAAGCUGACAAGCAUGAUCAAAGAAAGUUUCAGAACAAUUGUUUUUUUAAGACACCGUGCUUUGAAUCUCCAUUACAGGAAGAACUAUUCUCAGUAAAAAAAAAAACCUUAAAAUAACCUAGAGCAAAGGAUUCUUCUUCCACUGAGAAAUUCUGAUUCAAUCUGUAAUUCACCCUCUAUACACAACAAAGCCCACAGGUGGUAAAUCCAGAAUUACAGCUCACCUAUGAUACCAUGCUUCCCCCUAUAACCAACAAAAGAAGUUGUAAUUUUGACACCAAGAAGUUACUGCAAUUCAGUAUUUGAAAAUCUCUGUUUAAAUUUCUUCAGUCGGUAGCACUAUAUUCCAAGUCUGAAAGCAGAUGCAAAACUGGGUUUUGCAGACAAAGCAAGAUCAAUGAUGAUGUAAGUGCAGUCUUCUAAUGGAAAAAACUGGUAUUAACACAGAGAGGAAAUUACUGAGGCAACAUCCUAAUGUAGAAAUAGCACUUGUAUCAAUGAAAACACCAAGCCCUAAAUCAGGCAUGCUGCACUGCACUGGAGGCCUGAGCUUCUGACAGAAUUUCUAAGGAAGGCUUCACUGAUGCCCAGCACUGGGAGCAGAUGGCUUCCUCUCCUGUCACGGACUGGUGCUCCACCCCACCAGCGAGGUGAGCAAAGCAUCUGGUCCCAUUUGUCAUUGCUCUGAUCUGGCACUACAUGCCUGCUCUCCUUGACAAAAAUAGUUCAGUACUUGAACGCUUCCAGGACCUACUCAGCGAGAGCUGCUGCUCUGUGCUUCUCCCAGCCCUGCUGUGCUUGUCCUCCCACGCGUCUGCCUCAGGGAACAGCACAUUGCUUCAGCUUCCAGGCUUUAAACACACAGUCAUUAAACCCUGGGUAGAUACCACAUUGGAGUUACACCAGAAACUAAGUCUGAGGAUUGAGGUGAAAGGUUUCAGACUAAAUGUGUCUUCUCCAGAAUAACAAAAAGCUUGAGUCAUUUACUUAUGGUAAGAGAGAUUUCAGGUAUCUCCCAGAAAAGCAGCAGUUACUUUUAAUUCAAACUAUACUUUUAUUAUUAUUAUCAUCAAAUUCCUAGCACCCUAAUUCUAGAAGGUUGCAGGAAAAAUCUGAAAGUAUUCCAGACUGGAAGCCUGUCUCCCAGGGUUCACUUCCAGGCAGUUACGUUUACAAACUGAAGUGCUAAUAUUUGCUCACCACUUACCAGGAUUUAAAAGGAGCGUAAAGGUAUCACAGUGAAGUGGUGACUAAGAAUUAAAUGGACUCUAUAAAUAUAUAAAUUAUCUUCUUAAAGCUUUAUACAUUUUUUAAAAACUUUAUACUCACCAACAUGUCUUGGAAAAACAUGACUGCAAGAAUUACAGUUGAUUUUUAUUAAGUGUAUCAGAUCAUGGAGCUGUCAACAAAAGCACUGCUUCCAUUAUAACAUUUGCUGCUCUACGAUGCAAAGCAUAUUGAUUUUUACACGGCCGCUUUUCUUAGAUACAUUUACUCCAUCACUCCAUGUCACAGUUACACAACCAAAUAAAAAUUAAAGGGAAAAUUUAAUGAGAACACUGAAACUGCUUCUAGAACAAGAACUUUCCUACACAGCAGCUAUGCUACUGCAUUCUACACAAGCUGUAGUGUAAAUUAACAGUAGCUUCAACUUUUUUUUAGCAUAACGUAACAUGACACUGCAGCACUACCAGUGCAGUGUCAAUUACAUUUCCUUACACCAGAAUGUGCAGUGAAGUUAUAGCAUACAGCCUUGUGUAGAAGAAAUUCAGAGAGCACUGGGGGGUGUGCGUUGUGCUUUCAGCCUGACUUCAGGCUCAGGAGAUGUCAUAACGAGGCAUCUUUCUAAUUUUAAACAGGGAAGAGUUAACUUUACAAUUUCCCGGUCCUGGAAGUUAGUGGCUUCGCACGUACGUAGGAAGGAAAGAAUGCCACCUGCUGAAUGACUCCUGAAGGUUAUUCAGUACACUUCAGAGAGCUGCUGGAAGGCAGCUGGAGUGUUUAACGAGAGUUACUGAAUAACAAUUGGGUAAUUAUUAUAACAAUUGUUUCCUACCCCAUGUUAGCAGCACGGCCACACGCCAGGGUGCGAGGCCUAGAAUGCGGGGAAACACCGGCGAGCCUGCACCACCGGGCUCCUGCCGUGCCCGCAGCAUGACGCCCCGAUCCCGGUUCAGCCGGUUAUUCCGGGAGGGGACAGGAGGCCGGAGAAACGAGCUGUCCCGGCGGGGCCGCGCUCCCGGAGCCCUGCCCUCCAAGUGC